UCCCAGACUCCUACGGGAGGCAGCAGUGAGGAAUAUUGGUCAAUGGGCGCGAGCCUGAACCAGCCAAGUCGCGUGAGGGAUGAAGGAUCUAUGGUUCGUAAACCUCUUUUAUAAGGGAAUAAAGUGCGGGACGCGUCCCGCUUCGCAUGUACCUUAUGAAUAAGGAUCGGCUAACUCCGUGCCAGCAGCCGCGGUAAUACGGAGGAUCCGAGCGUUAUCCGGAUUUAUUGGGUUUAAAGGGUGCGUAGGCGGACAGUCAAGUCAGCGGUAAAAAUGCGGUGCUCAACGCCGUACAGCCGUUGAAACUGGCAGUCUUGAGUGGGCGAGAAGUAUGCGGAAUGCGUGGUGUAGCGGUGAAAUGCAUAGAUAUCACGCAGAACUCCGAUUGCGAAGGCAGCAUACCGGCGCCCUACUGACGCUGAGGCACGAAAGCGUGGGUAUCGAACAGGAUUAGAUACCCCCGUACA
rnacentral:rRNA from 1 species